AUGGGUAGCCGGCCUGAGAGGGCGUACGGCCACACUGGGACUGAGACACGGCCCAGACUCCUACGGGAGGCAGCAGUAGGGAAUCUUCCGCAAUGGGCGAAAGCCUGACGGAGCGACGCCACGUGGAUGAUGAAGGCCUUCGGGUCGUAAAAUCCUGUCAGGGGGGACGAUGGUCGAUCUUCGGAUUGAUUGACGGUACCCUCAGAGGAAGCUCCGGCCAACUACGUGCCAGCAGCCGCGGUAAUACGUAGGGAGCAAGCGUUGUUCGGAUUUACUGGGCGUAAAGAGUGCGUAGGCGGUUAUAUAAGUCAAAGGUGAAAUCUUCACUUUCAAGGUGGAAACUGCCUCUGAUACUGUAUAACUAGAGGGCAAGAGGGGGAAAUGGAACUCUGGGAGUAGCGGUGAAAUGCGUAGAUAUCCAGAGGAACGCCGGUAGCGAAGGCGAUUUCCUGGCUUGCAUCUGACGCUGAGGCACU
rnacentral:rRNA from 1 species